GACGAACGCUGGCGGCGUGCUUAACACAUGCAAGUCGAACGGAGAACGCGGGCGCUUGCUCCCUCCUCGACAGUGGCGAACGUGUGUGUAACACGUGUGAAAUCCGCUCCGCACUCGGGGAAAUUCGUGGGAAAGGACCUCUUACACCGGAUGAGACCCGGCUGCGCAUCGUCGGCUGGAGAGAUGCACCGCUGUUGGGGGUGGGCGCGCGGUCUCUCAGCUUGUUGGUGGGGUUACGGUUCACCAAGGCGACGACGGGUAGCCGGCCUGAGAGGGUGACCGGCCACACUGGGACUGAGACACGGCCCAGACUCCUACGGGAGGCAGCAGUGGGGAAUAUUGCACAAUGGGCGGAAGCCUGAUGCAGCAACGCCGCGUGCGGGACGACGGCCUUCGGGUUGUAAACCGCUUUUGGCAGGGAAGAAGCGAGAGUGACGGUACCUGCAAAAGAAGCACCGGCUAACUACGUG
rnacentral:rRNA from 1 species